GACGAACGCUGGCGGCGUGCUUAACACAUGCAAGUCGAACGAAGAGCGAUGGAAGCUUGCUUCUAUCAAUCUUAGUGGCGAACGGGUGAGUAACGCGUAAUCAACCUGCCCUUCAGAGGGGGACAACAGUUGGAAACGACUGCUAAUACCGCAUACGAUCUAAUCUCGGCAUCGAGGAUAGAUGAAAGGUGGCCUCUACAUGUAAGCUAUCACUGAAGGAGGGGAUUGCGUCUGAUUAGCUAGUUGGAGGGGUAACGGCCCAACAAGGCGAUGAUCAGUAGGCAGGCCGGAAGGGAGGACCGGCACAAUUGGCAUCAGGAAAGGACCCGACUCCUACAGGAGGCAACAGGUGGGAAUCUUCCGCAAUGGACGAAAGUCUGACGGAGCAACGCCGCGUGAGCGAUGACGGCCUUCGGGUUGUAAAGCUCUGUUAAUCGGGACGAAAGGCCUUCUUGCGAAUAGUGAGAAGGAUUGACGGUACCGGAAUAGAAAGCCACGGCUAACUACGUG
rnacentral:rRNA from 1 species